CCUACGGGUGGCAGCAGUGAGGAAUAUUGGUCAAUGGGCGGGAGCCUGAACCAGCCAAGCCGCGUGAGGGAAGAAGGUACAGCGUAUCGUAAACCUCUUUUGUCAGGGAACAAAGGCGGGGACUAGUCCCCGGAUGAGGGUACCUGAAGAAAAAGCAUCGGCUAACUCCGUGCCAGCAGCCGCGGUAAUACGGAGGUGGCAAGCGUUAUCCGGAUUUACUGGGUGUAAAGGGCGUGUAGGCGGGAAAGCAAGUCAGAUGUGAAAACCACGGGCUCAACCUGUGGCCUGCAUUUGAAACUGUUUUUCUUGAGUACUGGAGAGGCAGACGGAAUUCCUAGUGUAGCGGUGAAAUGCGUAGAUAUUAGGAGGAACACCAGUGGCGAAGGCGGUCUGCUGGACAGCAACUGACGCUGAGGCGCGAAAGCGUGGGGAGCAAACAGGAUUAGAUACCCGAGUAGUC
rnacentral:rRNA from 1 species